rnacentral:rRNA from 1 species
CUGCCUUAGCAAGACAUACGGCUAACUCUAGUGCCAAGCAGCCGCGGUAAGACAGAGGAUGCGAACGUUGCUCGGAUUUACUGGGCGUAAAGCGCGUGUAGGCGGUCUCGUUAGUCGGGUGUGAAAGCCCCGGGCUCAACCCGGGGAAGUGCACCCGAUACUGACGAGACUGGGGUACUGAAGAGGAGAGCGGAAUUCCCGGUGUAGAGGUGAAAUUCGUAGAUAUCGGGAGGAACACCAGUGGCGAAGGCGGCUCUCUGGGCAGAUACCGACGCUGAGACGCGAAAGCGUGGGGAGCAAACAGGAUUAGAUACCCUGGUAGUCCACGCUGUAAACGAUGACGACUGGGUGUUGCAGGUAUUGACCCCUGCGGUGCCGAAGCCAACGCGUUAAGUCGUCCGCCUGGGAAGUACGGCCGCAAGGCUAAAACUCAAAGGAAUUGACGGGGG